rnacentral:lncRNA from 1 species
GAGCGGUGAGAGGGAGGCUGGAUGGGGCUAGGUGGGAGAGGUUUCUGAGCUCUGGCCUCUGCUUGUUAUUUAACCUCUCCCGGGUAUUCGGAAUUGGCUUCUUCCCCAAUUAGAAAAGCGAUGGACACCAUACAGUCAGUGCCCCAGUGCAAUCUAGACAGAACCCUGAAGAAAACAAGGGGGAUGCGCAGGCCGCAGGGGAAGCUUCUCCCUGAAGAGAAGCCAUGGGGCUCACCAGCACCAAUCCACUCACGCUCAGUCCAUGACCUCAGAUGUCUUGAAGAAACAUAAGUUGGGCUCGAAGGAUGAGCAAGAGAAAAAAAGAGACUUGAACAUGGAUGAUGACCUGGGUUCAAAUCUCCAGAAACUACAUGAAGAAAGAUUCAAACAUGGGAGUGCACAUGAUUGCAAUCCCAGACUGUGGGAGUAAGGUUGGAAAUAGGAAGCAGCUUGCCGACCACUGGCCCAGUUCUAAGUUCAGUGAGAGAGCAUGUCUCAAGGAAAUAUAGCAGAAUGAUAGAGCAGGACCCUAGCUCUCCUCCUCUGUCUUCCACAAAGGGGCUCAUGUCCACAUACAUACACGCAAUUACACACAUGCACAUACACACACACGCACACAUGUGCUAACACACAUAUGCACACACAGUCAUAUACACAUAUUCACCUACUCAUACAUGCUCACAUACCUAUACACACAAUCACAUACACAGAGUCACAUACACGUACAUACACACACGUGCUCUCACACAGACACAUGCACACACAGUCACAUAC